GAGUUCGCGGGAGAGUAAGUUAUUGCCAGGGUUUUUAUUUUGUACUUUAAACCUUAAAUUUAUUUUUUAUAUUUUUUAAAUGUUCAUGUUUUUGAAUGUUUUAUUCAAAUAAUGUAAAAAAUAAAAUAGAUAUUGACAUGGAUUGAACAAAAGAUAUAUAUUAUUUUAUGUUGCAUAAACAAAUUGGCAAAAUAGAGAUGGAAGAUAAAAAUAUGGUCAAAGUAAUAAGAGUCUAUGGUGAAUGCC
rnacentral:misc_RNA from 1 species